UACGAUUGGUGAAUGAGGUCCAUUGGACGACUAUUCAAAUAACUUCAUAAUUUCCUAUUCAAAACAUUUGACAUCAUUACAUUUUAUCUAAAGAAUGGCACGGAAGAACAAUUGAAAAUAUGUAGAUCUAUGUUUUGAUAUUUAGAAAGUCCUAAUUUUAAGUCUAUGGUAGAACUUCAAAUUGGUUAAGGGAACUUUUGCAUUUUCUGGACAUGUUCUUUUGUAGCUUUAGGGAAUUAGAUCUACUGCUUUCUAACUGCGGGCCAUCCCAUCAUUCUAGAUUAAUAUAAAGUUUUGAUUUUAACGGAAAAAAAAGGAAAAUUCUUUUAUUUGUAUUAAGCAUAGACUCUCACUUUUUUUUUG